GGGCCAAGCUUAGAAGUGGCACUCAUCACUUCCUCUUACAUUUCACUGGCUAGAACUUAACACAUGGACAUCUGCAAGGCAGUCUGCAGACUAUAGUUUAGAUGUGUUCCCAGAAGGAAAGUGAAAUGGAUUUGGUGACUAGCUAACCAGUCUCCUGCCCCAGGUUCUGGGACUAAAAGAUGCACCAGCCCAGAGAAGCAGCAGUCCAAAGGGAGGAAUAACUGGGCCCUGGAUAGAAUGUGAUGAAUGAAUAUUCUUAAUGAGAAGUGGAAAUAAUUUGUGGUUGAGAGCUGUGCCUCAGAUCAGAGUGACAGGAUACAUGGCUAGGCUAUAUUUUCCAGCAGAUUAAGAGCUGCAGCCCAAGACUCUGAAAUAUGAAGAAAAAAGGAGAAGAUGACAGCAUAUCUUUUUAAAGAAAUAUUUUCCAGCCAAGUGGUGCAGCAGAGGACUUCCAGGAAUUUGUUCUUGUUCUGUAUCAAAGCUUUUUACAUGCUGCACCAAUACUGGGUCUAGCUGCAGCUUUGCUGGGUCGCAGAGGCUGAAGA
rnacentral:lncRNA from 1 species